GCAGCCUUGAGUUCUUGAAAGUUAUGCCAGUGGAGUGAAGGCAGUAGCAAGUCCAAGUUGGAAAGACUUUGGGCACAGGCUCAAUGAUUAUUAACAGGGUCAUCAUUUGAGAACCAGCUUAGCAGAGACUAGAGAGAUUCAUCACUAGGUAGUCUGUAGGGUAAAUACAAUUUUUAACCACCUGCCACUCACCAAAAUAAUUUAUUAAGUCCCUCUCUUAUUCUGUCCUAAAAUUCCUUUUGGAAUUCUCCUUUUUCCUUAGUUCCUCCUGUGAGAUACCUGAUUGUCAACCUGCAUUUAUUGUAAACUUGCUUCUUAUUUCUCAAUUCUUAUAGGGAGAAAGAUUGUGGACUCAUGCCUAUGAACGUACUCUUUGAAAUAUGGAAGCAUUAUUCUUACGCAAUUGAUGUGUUUUUCAGAUUCCGUGAGUUCCUGAAGGAAAAGGCUGCCCAAACGAGCCUCUGCUGGUCAUCAUUAGUAAACUACAAUCAGGUAGAGGGUACAUCUCUCUUUUCUGUAAAUAAUAAACCAGAUGUUCAGGGGGAAGGAUAUUAAAGAUGUUUGGAUGACUUUUAGGAAGUGUUUGUCACAGAAAAAUGAAAAGUGUCCAUAAAUUUAAAAUAAAGAGAUAACAAAAA